GUUGUUACUAAUUCUGGCCGUGCAAGUACAUUAGCCGCAACUGAUGAUGCUACUCCCACAUUGAGGUGCAUUGAGAGAGUUGCAAUAGCUGCUACUCCAAUUACUUAUCAUUCCAGGGAACUUCUGUUACUCAUUCACGAACACCUACAAGCAUCUGGAUUGGGAACAACUGCCGCAGCACUUCCGAGAGAAAUCAAAAGAUCCUCCUGUAACAACAACAGUGCUAAAGGUACCUCUGCAUUGUGAUGGCUUCAUUCAGAAAAUUCAGAAGCUUGUCUACAAAACAAAAGAAAGCAUCUACUAAAGAAUCAAGAAGACUGCCGGAUGUGAUGCCUGAUAGGUCAUAUAAAUUUCUUGCAUAUGGGUUUUGCUAUGACAAGUCGAAUGACGAUUUUAAAAUUCAUUGGGGCCAUGGGAUGUGAAUUACAAGGGAUUGUUAGCAGAUGAACCUAUGUGCUGUGUUUUUAGACCUGGCGCGAAAGCUAACAUUGUUAUUUCCCUGGACAUAAAAACAGAGACGGAGGAGGGGAAUGCAGGUGGAUGUUGGGCACUUUUUGCAAAAGCAUUUUGUUUUGUAAAUUUAACAGCACUCAUGCUAAUUUUUGGGUGAUGAAAAAAUAUGGCGCGGAAGUCUUGGACAAAGUUGUUCAGCAUUCCUUAUGUUGAUGGUUGUAAAUCAGUUUGAAGAGACUUAUAAAAAGUGGAAGGACAGUGACCAGGUUCUUCAAGUUGCAGGGAAGAGUAGGCCAGUUAAUUGCAAUAUGAAUGGGAACCUGUUUAGGCUAAGCUCCAUGUGGGAUAGAUUUGCACAAGACAAUUUGUUGUUUGUAGGUGACGUUUGUGUCUUUGAACUGAUAAACAACUCGACCAAAUUGCUGCAAGCUGAAAUAUUUUCAGCAGCAAAAGAGGCAAACGGUAAUACUGGCUCUGGACAUCACUUACACCACUCAAUUUAAUCAUGAAGCAAUUUGCAUCUCAUUUUUUCUUCUGGUUUCUGGUUUUCAUAUUAUCUUGGACGAUAUAUUGCUCUAUACAUUGUUUGCCUGAUGCAUUCUCUUAAAUUGAAAAUUUUCUAUGGCAAAAAAAAUAAGAGACUGCCAAGGGUAAAGGAAGCUAAGGAAGCUAAAGUGCCUGCAUUAGUCGAUGCUUUCACAUCUAGCACCCUUACUUCAGAAUCAAACUAUACCCAUCUUCCUUGUAUGGUGGAUCCUUGGGUUUGGCGCAAAAGUUUGUAAAGAGAUUUAUUAUCAAAAUACAGUUGCAAUGUUACCCUUCGAAUAUCGGAUGGAAGAGAGUGGUUGGUUAAGUGCAAUGUUUACAACUCCUGUAUUUAUCUUGUAUGAUUUAUUGUAAAUUCGAAUAUAUUUUUCUACAGUAUUUGUCUUUAUCAAAAUUUUAGUUCCAUGAUUCA